rnacentral:rRNA from 1 species
GGGGAAUAUUGCGCAAUGGGCGAAAGCCUGACGCAGCAACGCCGCGUGCGGGAUGACGGCCUUCGGGUUGUAAACCGCUUUCAGCAGGGACGAAGGGUUCCUACGGGAACUGCAGAAGAAGGACCCGCUUAACUAGGGGCAGCAGCCGCGGUGAUACGUAGGGUGCGAGCGUUGUCCGGAAUUAUUGGGCGUAAAGAGCUUGUAGGCGGUCCGUUGCGUCGGAAGUGAAAACUCGGGGCUUAACCCCGAGCCUGCUUUCGAUACGGGCGGACUUGAGGGAUGUAGGGGAGAACGGAAUUCCUGGUGGAGCGGUGGAAUGCGCAGAUAUCAGGAGGAACACCAGUGGCGAAGGCGGUUCUCUGGACAUUUCUUGACGCUGAGAAGCGAAAGCGUGGGGAGCAAACA